UAAUACGGAGGGUGCAAGCGUUAUCCGGAAUCAUUGGGUUUAAAGGGUCCGCAGGCGGGUUUAUAAGUCAGUGGUGAAAGCCUACAGCUCAACUGUAGAACUGCCAUUGAUACUGUAGAUCUUGAAUUCGGUCGAAGUGGGCGGAAUAUGACAUGUAGCGGUGAAAUGCUUAGAUAUGUCAUAGAACACCGAUAGCGAAGGCAGCUCACUAGGCCUGGAUUGACGCUCAGGGACGAAAGCGUGGGGAGCAAACAGG
rnacentral:rRNA from 1 species